ensembl:lncRNA
GGGAGAGAGGCAGGAGAGAGGUGGUGGGAGGGAGAGAGGGAUGGGGAGGGAGACAGGCAGGAGAGAGGGGGAGAGAGUGAUGGGGAGGGAGAGAGGCAGGAGAGAGGUGGUGGGAGGGAGAGAGGGAUGGGGAGGGAGACAGGCAGGAGAGAGGUGGUGGGAGGGAGAGAGGGAUGGGGAGGGAGACAGGCAGGAGAGAGGGGGAGAGAUUGAUGGGGAGGGAGAGAGGCAGCAGAGAGGUGGAGAGAGGGAUGGGGAGGGAGACAGGCAGGCAGGAGAGAGGUGGGCUGCUACCUAGCAGCAAGGCAGUGUUGCGUCC